rnacentral:rRNA from 1 species
GACGAACGCUGGCGGCGUGCCUAAUACAUGCAAGUAGAACGCUGAAGGAGGAGCUUGCUUCUCUGGAUGAGUUGCGAACGGGUGAGUAACGCGUAGGUAACCUGCCUGGUAGCGGGGGAUAACUAUUUGAAACGAUAGCUAAUACCGCAUAAUAGCAGUUAUUGCAUGAUAACUGUUUGAAAGGUGCAAUUGCACCACUACCAGAUGGACCUGCGUUGUAUUAGCUAGUUGGUGGGGUAACGGCUCACCAAGGCGACGAUACAUAGCCGACCUGAGAGGGUGAUCGGCCACACUGGGACUGAGACACGGCCCAGAAUCCUACGGGAGGCAGCAGUAGGGAAUCUUCGGCAAUGGACGGAAGUCUGACCGAGCAACGCCGCGUGAGUGAAGAAGGGUUUCGGAUCGUAAAGCUCUGUUGUAAGAGAAGAACGAGUGUGAGAGUGGAAAGUUCACACUGUGACGGUAUCUUACCAGAAAGGGACGGCUAACUACGUG